rnacentral:rRNA from 1 species
GACGAACGCUGGCGGCGUGCCUAAUACAUGCAAGUCGAACGCUUUUUCUUUCACCGGAGCUUGCUCCACCGAAAGAAAAAGAGUGGCGAACGGGUGAGUAACACGUGGGUAACCUGCCCAUCAGAAGGGGAUAACAAUUGGAAACAGGUGCUAAUACCGUAUAACACUAUUUUCCGCAUGGAAGAAAAUUGAAAGGAGCUUUUGCGUAACCGAUGGAUGGACCUGGGGUGCAUUAGCUAGGUGGUGAGGUAACGGCUCACCAAGGCAACGAUGCAUAGCCGACCUGAGAGGGUGAUCGGCCACACUGGGACGGAGACACGGCCCAGACUCCUACGGGAGGCAGCAGUAGGGAAUCUUCGGCAAUGGACGAAAGUCUGACCGAGCAACGCCGCGUGAGUGAAGAAGGUUUUCGGAUCGUAAAACUCUGUUGUUAGAGAAGAACAAGGAUGAGAGUAAAAUGUUCAUCCCUUGACGGUAUCUAACCAGAAAGCCACGGCUAACUACGUGCCAGCAGCCGCGGUAA